GUUUGAUCCUGGCUCAGGAUGAACGCUAGCGGCAGGCUUAACACAUGCAAAUCGAGGGGCAGCGCGAUGUAGCAAUACAUUGGCGGCGACCGGCGCACGGGUGCGUAACACGUAUGGAACUUACCCUUUACUGGGAGAUAGCCCGGAGAAAUCCGGAUUAAUAUCCCAUAAUAAACGAAGUGGCAUCACUUUGUUUUGAAAGCUCCGGCGGUAAAGGAUGGCCAUGCGCACGAUUAGCUAGUAGGUGAGGUAACGGCUCACCUAGGCUACGAUCGUUAGGGGGCCUGAGAGGGUUAUCCCCCACACUGGUACUGAGACACGGACCAGACUCCUACGGGAGGCAGCAGUGAGGAAUAUUGCGCAAUGGAGGCAACUCUGACGCAGCCAUGCCGCGUGCAGGAAGAAGGCGCUACGCGUUGUAAACUGCUUUUAACCGGGAAGAAACCCUCCGACGUGUCGGAGGUUGACGGUACCGGAGGAAUAAGCACCGGCUAACUUCGUG
rnacentral:rRNA from 1 species